rnacentral:misc_RNA from 1 species
GAGUGCUCCACAAAGCAUUUGGUAAUUAUUAUUUUUAAUUACAGAUUAUUAUUAGCAUAAUUUCUUAACAACUUCUAUUUGUCUAUACAAUAAAAUACUUCUGAAUGUUUUUCCUGAAGUUGGUGGAUAUUUCUUGGUUACAAUCAAAGAUUUCUUUUGAAUUUUGAGGCUUUAUUUUUAUAUACUUUGGUAAAUUUUUAUGCUAGGAAGAGGAAUUUUAAUUGGACCAAAAAUUUUAGCCAUACUCGAUUAAUUUAUAUUAUAUUAGCUAAAAAUAUAAUUAAUCUCCCACCCAAUAGACGGUCCUUCUAAUUUCACAUCAGAUGUGAAAAGUGCGCGUGUGUAGAGCUUAUGUACAUGAGUUAUAUAGAAACAAGAAUCAUUGUCUCAUAGUCUUUUAUUUAAUUUAUAUUUCUUUUAAAUUAAAUUUUUUUAUCUAUUAUAUUUACAAACAUUUCUCUUAAAUUAAAAUUUUUCAUCUAUUAUAUUUCCAACCAUCGAAUUGAUAAAAAUAAGAAAUCUUUCAAACAAGAACUUUCAGAAUCAACGCAUUGAGGAUCUAACCACAUAAAUUGUAAUUGAUAAAACAGGUAUGGCCCAGACCGCCCAAAGU